rnacentral:rRNA from 1 species
AAGCAACGCGAAGAACCUUACCAGGCCUUGACAUGCAGAGAACUUUCAGAGAUGGAUUGGUGCCUUCGGGAACUCUGACACAGGUGCUGCAUGGCUGUCGUCAGCUCGUGUCGUGAGAUGUUGGGUUAAGUCCCGCAACGAGCGCAACCCUUGCCUUUAGUUGCCAGCAGUUCGGCUGGGCACUCUAAAGGGACUGCCGGUGUUAAACCGGAGGAAGGUGGGGAUGACGUCAAGUCCUCAUGGCCUUACGGCCUGGGCUACACACGUGCUACAAUGGUCGGUACAAAGGGUUGCCAAGCCGCGAGGUGGAGCUAAUCCCAUAAAACCGAUCGUAGUCCGGAUCGCAGUCUGCAACUCGACUGCGUGAAGUCGGAAUCGCUAGUAAUCGUGAAUCAGAAUGUCACGGUGAAUACGUUCCCGGGCCUU